AGAGUUUGAUCCUGGCUCAGGACGAACGCUGGCGGCAUGCCUAACACAUGCAAGUCGAACGGAGGUGGAAACACCUUAGUGGCGAACGGGUGAGUAACGCGUGAGUAACCUGCCUUAUACACAGGGAUACCAGUUAGAAAUGACUGCUAAUACCGGAUAAGACCACAGUCCGGCAUCGGACAGGGGUCAAAGUGAAUUAGCGGUAUAAGAUGGGCUCGCGUCCAAUUAGCUAGUUGGUGGGGUAACGGCCCACCAAGGCAACGAUUGGUAGCCGACCUGAGAGGGUGAUCGGCCACAUUGGAACUGAGACACGGUCCAAACUCCUACGGGAGGCAGCAGUGGGGAAUAUUGCUCAAUGGGGGAAACCCUGAAGCAGCAACGCCGCGUGGAGGAUGACACUUUUCGGAGCGUAAACUCCUUUUGUUAGGGAAGAACACUGACGGUACCUAACGAAUAAGCACCGGCUAACUCCGUGCCAGCAGCCGCGGUAAUACGGAGGGUGCAAGCGUUACUCGGAAUCACUGGGCGUAAAGGACGCGUAGGCGGAUUAUCAAGUCUCUUGUGAAAUCUAACGGCUUAACCGUUAAACUGCUUGGGAAACUGGUAAUCUAGAGUAAGGGAGAGGUAGAUGGAAUUCUUGGUGUAGGGGUAAAAUCCGUAGAGAUCAAGAAGAAUACCCAUUGCGAAGGCGAUCUACUGGAACUUAACUGACGCUAAUGCGUGAAAGCGUGGGGAGCAAACAGGAUUAGAUACCCUGGUAGUCCACGCCCUAAACGAUGUAUACUGGUUGUUGCUAUGCUAGUCAUGGCAGUAAUCCACCUAACGGAUUAAGUAUACCGCCUGGGGAGUACGGUCGCAAGAUUAAAACUCAAAGGAAUAGACGGGGACCCGCACAAGCGGUGGAGCAUGUGGUUUAAUUCGAAGAUACGCGAAGAACCUUACCUAGGCUUGAUAUCCAACAAAUCUCUUAGAGAUAAGAGAGUGCUAGCUUGCUAGAAUGUUGAGACAGGUGCUGCACGGCUGUCGUCAGCUCGUGUCGUGAGAUGUUGGGUUAAGUCCCGCAACGAGCGCAACCCACGUAUUUAGUUGCUAACGGUUCGGCCGAGCACUCUAAAUAGACUGCCUUCGUAAGGAGGAGGAAGGUGUGGACGACGUCAAGUCAUCAUGGCCCUUAUGCCUAGGGCGACACACGUGCUACAAUGGCAUAUACAAUGAGACGCAAUAUCGCGAGAUGGAGCAAAUCUAUAAAAUAUGUCCCAGUUCGGAUUGUUCUCUGCAACUCGAGAGCAUGAAGCCGGAAUCGCUAGUAAUCGUAGAUCAGCCAUGCUACGGUGAAUACGUUCCCGGGUCUUGUACUCACCGCCCGUCACACCAUGGGAGUUGAUUUCACUCGAAGCCGGAAUGCUAAACUAGCUACCGUCCACAGUGGAAUCAGCGACUGGGGUGAAGUCGUAACAAGGUAACCGUA
rnacentral:rRNA from 1 species